rnacentral:rRNA from 1 species
GUAACGCGUGAGAAUCUGCCUUGAGGAUGGGGACAACAGUUGGAAACGACUGCUAAUACCCGAUGUGCCGGAAGGUGAAAAUUUUUUGCCUCAAGAGGAGCUCGCGUCUGAUUAGCUAGUUGGUGGGGUAAAAGCGUACCAAGGCAACGAUCAGUAGCUGGUCUGAGAGGAUGAGCAGCCACACUGGGACUGAGACACGGCCCAGACUCCUACGGGAGGCAGCAGUGGGGAAUUUUCCGCAAUGGGCGAAAGCCUGACGGAGCAAUACCGCGUGAGGGAGGAAGGCCUUUGGGUUGUAAACCUCUUUUCUCAGGGAAGAAGAUCUGACGGUACCUGAGGAAUAAGCAUCGG